UACGGAGGGUGCAAGCGUUAUCCGGAUUCACUGGGUUUAAAGGGUGCGUAGGUGGGCAGGUAAGUCAGUGGUGAAAUCUCCGGGCUUAACUCGGAAACUGCCAUUGAUACUAUCUUCUUGAAUACCGUGGAGGUCAGCGGAAUAUGUCAUGUAGCGGAUGAAAUGCUUAGAUAUGACAUAGAACACCAAUUGCGAAGGCAGCUGGCUACACGAAUAUUGACACUGAUGACAUCGAAAGUCGUUGGGGAUCAA
rnacentral:rRNA from 1 species